rnacentral:lncRNA from 1 species
CGCUAUGAAGAACUUCGUGGUUCUAAUGUCUGUUGCAGUUGUUUUCCUAGGAAUAUUUGAAAAUGCACUUCAAGGUGCGGAAGGCUAUAAUUUGGAAUACGAGGACUCCGAUGAAACCACCACAAAGAACAACGAAGGCACCGCUGAGACAGCGGCACCAAGGCUGAAGAGACCUACAAAC